rnacentral:lncRNA from 1 species
CUUAAGUCAAGAACCAAAUGAAGCACCAGAGUACAGAUUAUGGAGGUAUCUGAAGUUGAACUAACUGGAAGCAGGGAACCAUACUAAUAAAGUUCCUUAAGGUUCCUUGUAAAGAUUAACCCAGGGAAGGAUCGAAAGUGGAGAAGACCAGAUCAAGAAAGACUACAUCAAGAUCUGCGGUCAGUUCAAAGGAUGUUUUGCAUUGGACUGUUUUUUUUUUGGCUUUGACCCUUGCUUGCCCCUGACCUCACUCUUGGACUGCCCUGUUGGAUUUUCAGUUUAUUUAAUUU